rnacentral:rRNA from 1 species
GUAUUAGAUUAUUCUUGAAAUCCAAAUAAUUUGGCGGUAUUUUAUUCUAUUCAGAGGAACCUGUUUUUUAAUUGAUAAUCCACGAUUUUAUAUACUUAAUCUUGUAUAUCAGUUUUUAUAUUUCCGUCAUAAGAAUAUUUUAAUAGAAUAAAUUUUCUUAAUUAUUAAAGGUAAGUAUGUCAGGUCAAGAUGAAACUAAUGUUUAAGUAAAAAUGGGUUACAAUAAAAUUAUUUAUAUGGAUUUUUGGUUUUAGUUAAUUAUUUUGAAGGUGGAUUUGAUAGUAAAUAGUUUUAUUAAAAUUUAUUGAUAAAAGCUCUAAAAUAUGUACACAUCGCC